UCAACAUGAGCUUAUAUGAAUUUACCUAUUUGUGCUCAGGUUGUUUUUGUCCAAUAUGUAGCGAGCUAGCAGAGGCAACCACGGAGCUCACAGUACACGCUACUACAGGAUAAGGAGUCUUCCUCAUGUUCAAGCCAUUAGAACUAGGACGUGGCUAGCCUCUGUGAGUUUGCUAUGGUGCUAGUUAGCAAGUUGGUGGAUGAUUUGCCACUCGAAGCUGAUUUAGGUGCUAGUCUCUCUCUUUUGGAUAAUCAGUUACAUGAGCUUCUUAUCUUAGUUCGGGUAGCAAGUAGGUUUACUUAGAGUAUGUUGGUGGGACAUGUAAUAUGAAAUUGGUAAUUAGCAAGUGACUAUUGUAUAUAAUUAGCAAGUGACAUGUAUAUAAGACCCUGGCAGAUCACCUUUGCCUCUUGUUGCUGCAGAUUGAUACUCA